GUCUAUGGCCAUACCACCCUGAACACGCCCGAUCUUGUCUGAUCCCAGAAGCUAAGCAGGGUCGGGCCUGGUUAGUACGGGCCUGGUUAGUACUUGGAUGGGAGAAGUGUUUAGCCAGUAUGUACA
rnacentral:rRNA from 1 species